GCCAUGCGAGUCGAGAGGGUUCGGCCCUCGGCAGACUGCUCAGUAACACGUGGAUAAUCUGCCCUUAGGUGGAGGAUAACCUUGGGAAACCGAGAAUAAUACUCCAUAGAUCUAAGAUGCUGGAAUGCAUUUAGAUUGAAAGCUCCGGCGCCUAAGGAUGAGUCUGCGGACUAUCAGGUUGUAGUCAGGGUAAGGACCUGACUAGCCUACAACGGAUACGGGUUGUGAGAGCAAUAACCCGGAGACGAUAUCUGAGACACGAUAUCGGGCCCUACGGGGCGCAGCAGGCGCGAAACCUUCACAAUGUGCGAAAGCGCGAUGAGGGGAUCCCAAGUGCUUGCACUUAAGUGUAAGCUGUUUCUUUGUUUAAAAUGCAGAGAGAGGAAGGGCUGGGUAAGACGGGUGCCAGCCGCCGCGGUAAUACCUGCAGCUCAAGUGGUGACCGCUAUUAUUGGGCCUAAAACGUUCGUAGCCGGCUGAGUAAAUGCUUGGGUAAAUCGUGCCGCUUAACGGUACGAAUUCCGGGUAGACUGCUCAGCUUGAGACCGGGAGAAGCUAGAGGUACUCCUGGGGUAGAGGUGAAAUUCUGUAAUCCUGGGGGGACCACCAGUGGCGAAGGCGUCUAGCUAGAACGGGUCUGACGGUGAGGGACGAAACCCUGGGGCGCAAACCGGAUUAGAUACCCGGGUAGUCCAGGGCGCAAACGCUGCUUGCUUGAUGUUAGCUGGGCUCCGGGCUCAGCUAGUGUCGGAGAGAAGUUGUUAAGCAAGCUGCCUGGGAAGUACGAUCGCAAGAUUGAAACUUAA
rnacentral:rRNA from 1 species